GGAGGGGCGUUGUUUCCGGUGAAGCGGCAGGACUUCAAAUCCUGUUAAGGACGCCAGCGUUCUUGGGUGGGUUCAACUCCCAUUCCCCUCCG
rnacentral:tRNA from 1 species